AAUAAUAUGAUGGUCAGAUGCUAUACUGAUAAGAAAAAAUUAGUGAUUAAAAAUCAAAACUUGCUUCAUGCUUAUUGCUCUACUUAUUCACAAGCAUAAAAAUAACCUACGCUAAAAAACUGCUCAUUUGCAGGCUGAUCUGAUCUCCUUAUUCACCAAGUAUUUUCUUAGAAACUGGGAUGGAAUUUCCUUAAAGUUCUGAGUUCUGCAGAGAAAGUCGUGUAGAACAGGACGUGUGAGGUUUUCAACACCCCUCUGUUCUAAGCACCUUUCUGCUAUCAGAGUUUGGGCAGCCUGGGCUGUUACACCACAACCUUCUUCACCCUCAGGAAAGGAUACAAACAUCCUGGAAGUUUCUGAUCCAACAUAUUCAAGCAAAUAACACAAGGUUCUGAAUGACACUGGUGUUUCACUCCCUGUACAUUAAUUAGCCUAAUUCAUCAUCUUCUACUUUUCAAUUCUAAUGUUUCCAAAACUCAGUGAGGUGAGUCUGGAGCUACAUUGGAGCUUGCCACUGAACUGUGCCACAGAAGAUUAAUGAUUAAGUACACCUAUUAAACCAAGACAAAUGCAAUUUGCUGAGCCUGCUACUUGGACUGGCCUUUAUGCUCACAAGCGGCAAACCAAGAAGAAAAACCACCUACAUCUUGAAGUUCAUGGAAAAGAAAAACAACCUGUAUGUCCCUACACGAGUUGCAAAUUCUACAUAAAAGUAAACUCCCAUCUUCAUCAGAAGCUUCUCUUAAGUACCAAAAUAGAUACAGGUCUAGGAAAAAGCAGUCUUUUCCUUACUGAAGGAAAACAAGCUUGAAUUGUUGCUUAUUCAUGCAUUCGCUCACUCGUUUAUUCAGGAAUCACAUAUGGCCUGCCUCCUGUAACCAUGAAGAACUGCACUCACUUUAGAAAAGUGAAAAGGUGACAGUGGAGAUGAAGGGGAAAUAAAAUUCCAAGC